rnacentral:rRNA from 1 species
GUCUCCCACCAUACCACCCUGAAUGCUCCUGAUCUCAUCUGGUCUCAGAAGCUAAGCAGGGUCAGGGCUGGUUAGUACUUGGAUGGGAGAAAAGACUGACUUGAAGCUGGACAUC